GUUGAAAAGCUCUUCUCCUAAAGCUGCCGCCACCUGGACGCGUAAUUCGGAGUGAAAAAAUUCACCCGCCGGCUGCUCUCAUCGGGAGGGAGUCAAGCACUGGUUCUCGCUCAAAAACACUCGGGAAACCAGCCUCAGAGGAGCAUGUGAUGACGGUGAUCUCAAAAAGGUUAUUCCCAGGGAUUUGGCUGUUCUAGGAAAUCAAGGAAACAGUCCCUUGGCAACCUGCAGUCACUCACAUAGAAACUGCUCAUUAUGGACUUGGGCGUCUCAUGCAACUGCCCUGUGUUUGCCAGAGAGGAUUGUGACACAUCUUACCCCAAGUGCCUGGGUGGAUGAUCAUAUUUAUUGUUUUUAAACAAUAAUGCAAAUGCAAAUGCAUUUGUUGCAGCUUCAUCUGCAGUUCUCUGGUGUGUCUAUUCCUUGUCAAGAUGAAAAAUUUGCAAUGUCUAUUUAAAAAUUAAAAAAAAAAAAAAAAAAGGUCUGAUUUCCCAAUGCAGGAUAAAUCAAAAAGCAACAAAAAAUCUUUGCUCAAUGUUUUCAGUCUUGUUUUAAGCAGCAUUCAGCACAAAUAAUUAUGUUUUUCAUGGCCAUAGCUUAAGUAGUUGUUCAGGCUUUAGUUCUGUGGGUGGAUUGUGUGUUCACUGUUUGGACAUGUGGAUCAGAAGUAUUUAAAUAUUUAUGAAUUCUGGAAGAGAAAAAAUCUCACUUAAAUAUUCCCUUAAGCAACCAAUCCUUUCUCUCCUGCUAAAGAAUUAUCUAUCCUUUGCUUCUGGCUGAGUGGUUUUGUGCAUGGAAUCUGCAUGGGAGACUUUUUGGCACGUUUCUAAAGCAGCAGCUUCUCCCAUGGGGUGUGUUAAGGAGACACCCAGCAGAUAAACAAACCUUUGGGAGGAUCACAUGGCACAAACUCGGAGCUCUUUGGUGUUCAUUUGGUCUAACCUGGCAUGUUGUUUAUGCCUUGGUAACGUGGGGAUAAUAAGUGUAAUUAUGUCAGGGGCGUGAUUAUGGUAGUGCUAGGCCUGCUGACUAACACCAGGAUUCAAGGAAUUGUAAAUUGGUUUAUUAUUGUCCCAGGUAUCCUGUUAAGAAUGGUUCAAAGAGAAACAAUAACUAUAAAUUAACACUUCCUUACAACUUUGGAAAUAUAACUCUCAGAAAGGCCGUUUAGGAUAGAAGGAAUGUUCCAAUUAAAGAGCACAUGAGGACUGUAAAUUCAGAGAUUCUCAGAGAAAGGAAAUGUUACUUUUGCUACAUUUGUGUGUCGUUACUUUGAGGCCAAGCCCAGUGGAAAACUAAGCCUUGCUUAGUACAAAGGCAGCAGCUGCCCUUCUGCUGGGCAAAGCACUGAGAACUGGGUGAAAGAACUCAGGGGGUUUAGAAAAUUCAAGUGAGAAACAGAAUCUGCCUUGAACAAAAAGAGCAGGACAAAGACACCUUGUAAUCUCCAGAGAGGGCUCUGCCGGACAAUCCUGUGGGCGUUCACUGUAGCUGUGAUACCACUAUCUACAACCCCCAUGUGUUUUCUUUUUCAGUUGCAUUGCAAUGGAUCGAUACAGAGCCUGAUUCAUGCUUUCUUGGCUUUGCUAAAUGCCUACUCAAAUCCUGUAGCUAUGCUCUGAAUUAAUCUGCUUACCCAAAGGCAUUGCUGGAAAAUGGUUGUCCUUAGAGAUUCCAGCCCCCUUCGCCUGGGAAUGAUAGAGCCAUCAGCAUCUGCAGUGGUAUUAGCAAGAAGCUUGACAGGCUCUGAAAUUAGGAUAAACUGGGCCAGAAUCACUCUGCUUACCCCUCAAUAUCCCCAGCAAAUUAGCACCUCUGAAAAGCAGGGAGUUUUGAGAUGGGAAGUCAGGAGCAAAGCGAAUUUGGGGUGGUGUCGGGAUGCCAGAGGUGUUACCAAGUUCAGAGCACCAAGAGCUGGAUGUGCACAGCACCUCAGCAUCACAGCAGCUGCAGCAGUAUGAGUGCAGCCGUAGCUAGUCCUGCCAACAGCCCAGGGCACCUGACCCGAUCCUGCACUGCACAGAGCAAGGGAUGGCAUCCACCAGCUCUCCAGGGGCUUUUCAGAGAGCAGCUGGUACCAUCAGAGUUAUUUUGCAGAGUAUCUCCUUCAGGUGCCCUCACUGUGAUUUUUUGAUGUUAUAUAUUCACUUAGGUAGUCCUAUUUUCUCACUAGAUUCCCAGACUCUGCCUUUUUCUCUGUGCAAAGCUUUCUAUUUCUUUCAGGCUGGCCUCAGUCUUUGCUGUGGAAAUGUGCAAGAACAUUUUCCUGUGACAAGACUAAAACUCAGAACUAAAGAUUAAGAACUGGGCGUGCAUACAAUCUUACUUCCCCCCUGCAUACUCUCCAUUUUCUUAAUUCACAGACAGACAUCCUGAGUCACAGGCUAUUUAGUUCUGUUUAAUACUGCUAAAUGGGUAUUUCAUGUCCUCAAUUAUCUGCUUUUUAAGCUCAUUAUGUUCUGGCCUCGUGUUCUGCAGCGGUAAUUUCUGAUUCAUGCACAGUGUGAAAAGUUGUUCCCUUUUGAUUGUUGGUAACUUUUUAUCUGGGAAUUUUUUUAGUGACCUGAGUUCUUCCGUGUGAGAAAUAACAAGGCCUCUUUGACAUCUAUAAUUAUACAGACUUGUGUGGUCUACAAAAAUCCUGCUGAUUCUUCCUGUUUUAUCAGAACCACUGAAGUUUCUGCUAGCUUGAAUGGGGAAGGUGCCAUCAAGUUAUAAAGAUGGAUGAAAGUUUGGGACUGAUAGCAUCCCUCCUUUUGAAUGCAAGAGAGCAUCUUUCUUCACCCAGAUGCUGACUUUCACCAAAUUUGUCACAUGUAAAUGUCUUUGAAUCAUACUUUUGAUGAGAGUCGGCCACAUGUUCAGACUCAGAGAAUGAAAUCCAGAAGUUAUCCAAUUCCAAGUACUGAAGCAGUAAUCAAUUCAGUGAGACUUCCUCUGAUGGUACAGGCUACACUAAUACAGGGCAAGAUUCUGAAAUACUAACUAUUUUCUCUUUGUUGCUUUUGAGAAGAAAUAAAGGUCUAAUGCAAUUCAGGAGAAUGAAUCAAAUAGUUUCACAGAGCUGCAAAAUGUAAUGCUGUCAACCCACCUCCCUGAGAAACCAUUCCUUUAGCAACCCACGCUAUUUAGUGUGUUCUUAGAUCUUCUGUAGAGCCUUGAAUCCUCCCUAAAUUUGACAGCAUUGUUCUGCAGCUGUGGGAAGGGUGAUGCUUAAAAUUUCCUAAGUUUCAAUGGGAAUAAAACUUACUGCCUUAAAUGACCACAUCUCCUCUUCCUCCUCAGCAUGUGCAAGAAGGAAAAACAUAACUGUAGAAUCUCAAUGUUUUCCUCAAAUGUUAAUGAGUUUGCUGUGAAUGGAUAUUUCAUAAAUCAAAUGUUGGCUCAAUCUGUGUGCCUAUCAAAACAAUUUAAAUGUGGGCGUUAUAGUAGAUGGGUUUGUGUUUGGAUUUAGUCAUCAAGCCAAGACUGACCUGACCUUUCAUGCCAGCAGACAACUGACAGACUUAACCCCGAAUUCUACCUGAUUCUGUGCUUUGGUACUGAACAUUGUAACUUUAUCCAUCACAUUUUAGUUUGAGAUGGGGGGUGUUUUUGUCAUAGGACACAUCAGUUCAUAUACUCAUAUUUUAAUUCCCAACAUUUUGUAUUUUAAAAGAACUUUGCAGCGAUGAUGCAAGUUUCCAAGGCUGAUUUCCUCAUAGCAAGUAUUUACGUGUUUUAGUUUCUUAUUAUCAUUUCAGAUUAAAACUUCACAACUACCAACUAAGAAUAAUUUAUCUGAAAAUUCUUUCAUUUUUAAAAUAUAUCAGUGAAAAUACUUUUUAAAGCUUAAUUUAGACUGAAAUUUGGAACUUUUUUCCAUGCAGUUUUAUUGGUGGAGGUUUAGAGCUUAAUUGCCCAACUUAAAAAAUAAAAGCUCCUUUCAGAGAAACAGUUGAUAGGUCUUCAUGCCCUAAAGAAUCAGGCUAUGACACAAAAAUAAAACAAAAAAUAACACAAAAUUGUGAGAAUAACAGGCUCACAAUUUUGUAUGUGUCACUCGUGUUCCCUUAGGUAAGCAGUCUGGGAGUUUGGAGCACGAAGGACAAAUUUAGCUCCUGUCCACACAAAGUUUGGCUGCACUCCUGAAAUCUGAUCUGUGUGGGUGUGACUCAUAUUCUGCAAGACCGUCCCCUUGCUGAGGGGCUGCUGAGCAGGUGCGGGGCUCUUCCCACAUGGAUCACGUCCCUGGAUUUGGAUCCUGGAGACAAGUGCUAUAACCAGGUCACCUCCCCGUGCUGGGGAUUCAGCUAUAAAGUCAUUAAUCACUCAACCACCAGAAUAAAGCCCUUGAAGAAGCCCUCUUUGUGCCUGUCUUGCCCUGUAGACUUCCAAAUAUAAUCUGUAGUGCUAAAAAGAAGAAAUUUCCUCAUAGCCAGUAAAAAGGAAAAACUGGGAGAUUAAGCCCUCCAAAAGGUUUUAGUAUAUUUAGACAUUAUGUAAAUAAGGGCUGCAAAAAAGACCCUGAAGAUGAUUGUACAGCUUUGAAGUAGAGGAAACAAUCCCCUUAAUUUUCAUUCAUAAAUGAGAAGUAAAUGCAAUUUAGGAAAAGAAAACAUUCUAUGGGAAUGAGAAAAAAAGGAAGACUAGUGAAAAAGUUUAGAAGUUUAUCAUUUUGCCUGAAGAAGAAAAC
ensembl:lncRNA